AGUGAACGCUGGCGGUAGGCCUAACACAUGCAAGUCGAACGGCAGCACAGUAAGAGCUUGCUCUUACGGGUGGCGAGUGGCGGACGGGUGAGGAAUACAUCGGAAUCUACUUUUUCGUGGGGGAUAACGUAGGGAAACUUACGCUAAUACCGCAUACGACCUACGGGUGAAAGCAGGGGAUCUUCGGACCUUGCGCGAUUGAAUGAGCCGAUGUCGGAUUAGCUAGUUGGCGGGGUAAAGGCCCACCAAGGCGACGAUCCGUAGCUGGUCUGAGAGGAUGAUCAGCCACACUGGAACUGAGACACGGUCCAGACUCCUACGGGAGGCAGCAGUGGGGAAUAUUGGACAAUGGGCGCAAGCCUGAUCCAGCCAUACCGCGUGGGUGAAGAAGGCCUUCGGGUUGUAAAGCCCUUUUGUUGGGAAAGAAAAGCAGCGGGUUAAUACCCCGCUGUCCUGACGGUACCCAAAGAAUAAGCACCGGCUAACUUCGUG
rnacentral:rRNA from 1 species